rnacentral:lncRNA from 1 species
UUUUCCGUUUUAUCUAUAAAAUUAUCUGAUGUCUUCUGCUAACUAUUCUGCUAUUCCUUAAAAUGUAUAAUUUUCCGUCUUAGAUGAUUGCCAAAAGAGCAGUGCUGGUUUCCUUGAAGGUGGAAUUAGGGAGGGAAGUCUACCUAUUCAUGAACGUUGAUAAAGUCAAACAGACUGCCGUUACCACCAACUUUGAGAUAGUACUAAAUACAGUAAGCAGGACAGCAUAUUGGAUGGACAAAAAAAUGCCAACUAAUAUUUUUCUGCCUUUAAUAAGCAUUUCCGAAGUUAACUUUUUAAUAGCACAUGUAACCUAAAUCACCAAAAUUCUUAAGACCUUUUGAAAAUUAUCUUCAAUUGUACAUCGUUAUGCCCAAAAUCGGGAAGCUUUUAUUUUAUUAAAAUAUGUACAUCUUGAAACCUGUAUGUUUUUGUGAAUCGAUUACUUAAUUAGUUAUUAUCCACCUUGUGUGUUAAUUAGUG